rnacentral:rRNA from 1 species
AAUGUAGCAUAAAAAACUAGAGUAUUAAUAGUUAUAGUCUUUAAACUUAAAAAUUUUGGCGGUAUUUUAGUCUAUUCAGAGGAACUUGUAUUUUAAUCGAUAAUCCUCGAGGAACCUUACUUAAAUUUAUAAAUUAAUUUGUAUACCGUUGUUAUAGAAAAUUUUAAUAGAACAAUAAUUUUCAAUAAUUUUAAUAAGAUUAUAUAUCAAAUCAAGGUGCAGUUUAUAUUUAAGUUAAUAUGAGUUACAAUAAAAUUAUUUAUAUGAAAAUAAAAAUGAAAAAUUUAUUGAAAGUGGAUUUGAAAGUAAAAUUAAAAAGAAUUUUAAUUUGAUUUUAGCUCU